UGGGAGCUGGUGGACACGCUUCUGGGGAGCACUGGCCCGGACCUGGGAGCUGGUGGACAUGCUUCUGGGGAGCACUGGCCCGACCCCUCUUGUCUCCUUGCGUCAUGGAGGAAGCAGCGGAGAAGGUGGCUCUCACACCUCCUGCUUUUCGGUGCUCAGACAUCUCUCCCCAUCAUGGUUCUGCAUCUUGAGGUAACUGCACCAGGCUGAGAAGUGCCCGGACCGGAGCCGCUCCAUUUCGAUAAUUCCACGAUGCAAGCUUUCACCAAGAGUCUCAGGCAGAAGAGUGCUGUCUCCCUGUGUCUGCAGUAUGACCCUCCCAUCUGGAUGGGGACCAAGAAGAGUUUGCUGCCCUCACCUGGUAGUGGAGACCACUUCUGGGUUGAAGGUCACUUAUAUUAAAGACAAUUUUCUUCAUUUGUCACUGCAUUCAUCUUCAUAUCUGGAAACUGAAAAAAAUUCACAACAAUGGCAGAAGACCACAAGUUCUGUUACUG